rnacentral:rRNA from 1 species
AGUGAACGCUGGCGGUAGGCCUAACACAUGCAAGUCGAACGGCAGCACAGUAAGAGCUUGCUCUUACGGGUGGCGAGUGGCGGACGGGUGAGGAAUACAUCGGAAUCUACUUUUUCGUGGGGGAUAACGUAGGGAAACUUACGCUAAUACCGCAUACGACCUACGGGUGAAAGCAGGGGAUCUUCGGACCUUGCGCGAUUGAAUGAGCCGAUGUCGGGUUAGCUAGUUGGCGGGGUAAAGGCCCACCAAGGCGACGAUCCGUAGCUCGUCUGAGAGGAUGGUCGGCGACACUGGAGCGGAGACGCGGACCAGGGUACUACGAGAGGCAGCAGUGGGGAAUAUUGGACAAUGGGCGCAAGCCUGAUCCAGCCAUACCGCGUGGGUGAAGAAGGCCUUCGGGUUGUAAAGCCCUUUUGUUGGGAAAGAAAAGCAGCAGGUUAAUACCCCGCUGUUCUGACGGUACCCAAAGAAUAAGCACCGGCUAACUUCGUG